UGUCGUCAAACGACAGGCACGUGAGGUUGCCACAACUUAAACGUAUACACGUUUAAUGAAUGUAGUGUUGAUCAACAUAGAGUACUAUAGGGUGAUCACCUAGACGUGCUCGUAAGCUAUGCCAGACUUACGAACUUAGUGCCUGGAUGUCCUUUUCAAAGUACUUAUGAAAUGCUCACGAUCUUGAACCAGAAUUGAUAUUUUACUGAAUAUUGUUGUUGUAAAACAUUUU
rnacentral:lncRNA from 1 species